AAAGUUGAGGAAUGACAGUUGGAGUGUCAGGAUGAUGGGUGGAAGCUGGUCAGCUGCUCUUUCUGCUGGAAGUAGAACUGGAACCGAGACUGGGCAUACUCCUAGGGAAGGAAACCCACCCACAAAGUGGUGAGGCCCUGACUCCUGCCACCAACAAAUCCUGGGGAGGACAUUGUAUGUGCCUGGUAUGAUGCUCCCCCAUCCUGCCUGCCUUCACCUGAGGUUGCCCAUCUCAUCCUUCAGGCUGUACAUUUCCAGUAGAUUCAUCUGGGAGAGGUCAGUGGAAGAGGCCAAGAAACUUGACAGCCCAAGGAAGAUGAUGGGACACUUGAUCCACUCAACUGGAGGGCUGGACACACCUAUGGGAGUUCAGGUGUUUGGGUUACAAACCUGACUCACCGUUCCAUAGUCCCAAACAAC